rnacentral:snoRNA from 1 species
AUAAUGAUAUGAUAAAUUGUCCCUAGUGGAUUCUGAUACAUGUGAGUAAUGGCUUGCAU